rnacentral:rRNA from 1 species
GACGAACGCUGGCGGCGUGCCUAAUACAUGCAAGUAGAACGAGUUGCGAACGGGUGAGUAACGCGUGGUAACCUGCCUCCUAGCGGGGGAUAACUAUUGGAAACGCUAGCUAAUACCGCAUCCCCUCGGAUGUGCCCAGAUGGGCUUAGCUAGUAGGUGGGGUAAUGGCUCACCUAGGCGACGAUCCCUAGCUGGUCUGAGAGGAUGACCAGCCAUACUGGAACUGAGACACGGUCCAGACUCCUACGGGAGGCAGCAGUGGGGAAUAUGGCACAAUGGGCGCAAGCCGGAUGCAGCCAUGCCGCGUGUAUGAAGAAGGCCUUCGGGUUGUAAAGUACUUUCAGCGAGGAGGCGGUACUCGCAGAAGAAGCACCGGCUAACUCCGUGCCAGCAGCCGCGGUAAUUC